rnacentral:rRNA from 1 species
UACAUGGGGUGCAAACGUUGCUCAGAAUUAUUGGGCGUAAAGCGCGCGUAGGCGGUUACUCAAGUCGGAUGUGAAAGCCCUCGGCUUAACUGAGGAAGUGCACCCGAAACUGAGUAGCUAGAGUACUAAAGAGGGUCGCGGAAUUCCCGGUGUAGAGGUGAAAUUCGUAGAUAUCGGGAGGAACACCGGUGGCGAAGGCGGCGACCUGGGUAGAUACUGACGCUGAGGCGCGAAAGCGUGGGGAGCAAACAGG